UGAGUUAACAAUCUUCAAAUGCAAUGAAAUAUCUCAUAUGAUGAACUAUUUAAUAAAUGAAGGAACGAAGACUCCAGAAAUAAUGGAACUUGUGUUGUCAGCUUUACGAGAUUUGGUUGCCAAUGUUCGUAAAAAAUAUAGAGUCGAAGAAGAAACCAGUAUUGGUAAUAAUAUUGAGGGUGGUGAAAGCAAUAUAUUUGUCAAUGCACAUUCUAAGAACUCCUACGUAGUACUUGAUCUGAUGGUUGUUAAUACUAAAGACCGAACGAGUAAAAGAUUUAAAUCUGGCAAAGAGGAGAAAAGUAAGUUAUGUCGUGGGUGUAAAAAGUGGGUUAUGGGCAUGAUAAAUGAAAUUGUCCUAUAUAUAACCAACUUGAUAAUGCAUCUAGAUAAGCCAGGUAUAUAUAUUUUUUCUUGUAUUUUUAUUUGAUUUCUUACAUGCAUUGUAUUCUUUUAAUCUAUAUUCAUUAUUCACACGGUUUUUGCACUAAUGUUCAAAGAGGAAAGGGAAAAGCAGUUGGUAGGCCAAGAGUAAAGAUUAUAGGACAGGGUCGUGGUAGGAUGUUUAAUCAAGAUUGAUCAGUUCCAAAGGCACGAUUUGUUAAAUAUCUACAAGCUUGCGCUAUCGGAUAUAUGAAUAAAUUAAAAUUGUUUGCUAAAAACAUACCUAUUGUAGAUCAUGGAGUUGUUGAAGCAUCCACUUGUUAGUAAGUUCGAUGACGUGGAUUGAUUUCAUUUUCAUAGCAAUAAUGUGCAUUUUUCAUUUUUUUUCCUAAAAGAAUGCUAAAUUCAUUUUACUUAUGAUUUUUUUCCUAAAUGAAUGCUAUGUUCAUUUCAUGGCAAUAAUGUGCAAAUUUUCUAAAGCUACUUAUUUACUAUAAAUGCCGGAUUGUUUGUUGUGCAUCUCUUUGUUCUUGCUGAUAAUUUGUCCUACAUGAUGAGUUGAGUGGUCUAGUUUUGGACUAAAAUCUACACAGUAAGUCCUACAUGGUUCUCAGCUCUAUCCCUAUGCAUGGUAGUUUGGUGUGGAUUGCAUGUGGAGAUUGUGCUUCUGGCUCUAUU